rnacentral:siRNA from 1 species
CCACCGACUUAUGGGUAUGUGG